UUACGGCCAUGUCACGUAGAAUCAUCGGUUCUCGUCCAAUCACUUCAGUUAAGAAAGGUCGAGCUUAGUUAUUACCAAGAUGGGUGACCACUUCGGAAGACCAGGUGCUGUA